AUUGAACGCUGGCGGCAUGCCUUACACAUGCAAGUCGAACGGCAGCACGGGGCAACCUGGUGGCGAGUGGCGAACGGGUGAGUAAUGCAUCGGAACGUACCUUUCAGUGGGGGAUAACGUAGCGAAAGUUACGCUAAUACCGCAUAUCCUGUGAGCAGGAAAGCAGGGGAUCGCAAGACCUUGCGCUGAUUGAGCGGCCGAUGUCAGAUUAGCUAGUUGGUGAGGUAAAGGCUUACCAAGGCGACGAUCUGUAGCGGGUCUGAGAGGAUGAUCCGCCACACUGGAACUGAGACACGGUCCAGACUCCUACGGGAUGCAGCAGUGGGGAAUUUUGGACAGUGGGGGCAACCCUGAUCCAGCCAUGCCGCGUGAGUGAAGAAGGCCUUCGGGUUGUAAAGCUCUUUCGGCCGGGAAGAAAUCGCACGGGCUAAUACCCUGUGUGGAUGACGGUACCGGAAUAAGAAGCACCGGCUAACUACGUGCCAGCAGCCGCAGUAACAC
rnacentral:rRNA from 1 species